rnacentral:rRNA from 1 species
AUUGAACGCUGGCGGCAGGCCUAACUCACGCACGUCGAACGAGUGGCGGACGGGCGAGUACUGUCUGGGCAACUGCCCGAUGGAGGGGGAUAACUACUGGAAACGGUAGCUAAUACCGCAUACCAUCGGAUGUUCCCAGAUGGGAUUAGCUAGUCGGUGAGGUAACGGCUCACCUAGGCGGCGAUCCCUAGCUGGUCUGAGAGGAUGACCAGCCACACUUGUGCUGUGACACGGUCCAGACGCCGGCGGGAGGAAGCAGUGGGGAAUAAGGGACAAGGGGCGCAAGCCAGAUACAGCCAUGCCGCGUGUAUGAAGAAGGCCUACGAGUUGAAAAGUACUUACAGCGAGGAGGGGUUACUCGCAGAAGGAGCACGGGCGAACUCCGUGCCAGCCGCCGCGGUAAUUC